GCCUUAGUGGUGAAAUGGUAGACACGAGGGACUUAAAAUCCCUUGGACAGAAAUGUCCGUGUCGGUUCGAGUCCGACCUCAGGUACCA
rnacentral:tRNA from 1 species